CUUUUCUAGGGCUGCUCCCGUGGCAUAUGGAGGUUCCUAGGCCCAGGGUCGAAUUGGAGCCGUAGCCGCCGGCCUACGCCAGAGCCACAGCAACUUGGGAUCGGAGCCGCAUCUGCAACCUACACCACAGCUCACGGCAAUGCCAGAUCCUUAACCCACUGAGCAAGGCCAGGGAUCGAACCCGUAACCUCACGGUUCCUAGUCAAAUUCAUUAACCACUGCGCCAUGACGGGAACUCCUAUUUCUCUUUUUAAACUAAAGUUUAUUUUAAGAAAAGAGGUCAAAAGACUAAAUACCGCAUCGUGAUUAAAAACACAGAUUUUGAGUUGAAUUUGGAUCCCAACUCCGCUAACCAUUCUUGAGCUUUGGAGUAAAUUUUUCAAAUCUCUAGACAUAGGUAUGCACAACUCUAACAAGGACGCAAAUACCUACCUUACAGGACUGUUGAAAGUAUUAAAAGAUAUAAUGGGUAUAAAGUGCCUAACAUAGCAAGUAAUUAUGAUGGUGGUCAAAUAUCCACCUUAAAGAAACCAAGUAGGAAGAAAACAAAAAGCAUCGUCCUUCAUUAGUUUCCCAGGGAAUCUUAAGAAAAUCAAUUCCAAUGGCUGCAGAGAACAUCUGAAAAAUUGCUAAGUGACAAAAUCAUCCUGGACUUCCUGGACUUGACAAAAUUGGGAGGCCAGAGUGACAGAGAACAACUUUUUACUUACCCUUAACUGUAACUCAUGGUGAAAGUAUUGAUUUUAAGCAGCUAUUAUCUUAGGCUGUGUUAAAUAUCAAGGCAUGUAAAUUCCCUCUGUAUUCACUCCAGAUUACUGUUCAGUAGUUGGGCAAAUAGGCAAUUAAAACAUAAAUUCACCUAUAAAAGGUCAACCAGAAUAUUUGUGAGUCUAUAAACACUCCAUGCCUAAGAAUGCUAACUGUUCUCCAAAAAUUACUCUGUCCUUCUCUCAGAGUUGAAGAAAACAUUUUUUAAUGGGCAUUUGACCACCCGAAACAAAGACUGCUUUACAAAUAGAUGUAGCCAAGUGACCUGGUUCUUCAGGUCAACAAUAUAUAAAGCAGUAGUUUCUUAAAGCACUUUCCAAAAACUUUCCUUAAAAGGCUGCUGGUAUAUGGUCUUCUCUCAUUUCUUCUCUGUCCUUCUCUCUUUCUUGCUAGAUAGAAUGUGAACAUGAUGGCUAAAGGAAAAGAAGCUAUUUUGAACCAUGAGGUGACCUUGGAAAGGGAGGAUAUCACAGAAAAACAAUAAGCUAGAAGAAGCUUUGAGUAAAUCUUUGUGAAGCAAAGCAAGCAUGACUUAACUAUUUACCUAAAAUUUUUUACAUUGGGAAGGAAAUCACCUGCUAACUUUUUAAGUUACUCUUAUUUUGAUAAUCACUAUUGAAUCUUACUAUAACUGUGUCAAAUGAAAAAAAAAAUUGGAUAAGAUUAACCUAGAUUCACAUAAGCCAAAUUCAAAAUUUAAAAUGAUUCCCUAUGACAGAGUUAAAAACUAUUCUCGAGAGUGUCAUAACAGAAGCUGUAUAAUGGAGAACAGCAUUUUUGUUCUCUUCCUACUGGUAGGCAUUCCAAGAGUUUUGUUGAAUACAAAUGUGUGUCUGUCAGCAAAUUGCAUUGAAGUGAAAUUCCAAAACUUCUUUUUGACAUAUAAUCAUUUAAAAAAUUUGCACCCAUCUUCAGAUACAAGAUAAAAGAAAGUUAAAAGAUUUAAUAACUCCCUAGUAUGGUUUUCUAUUCCUCUUUACCACCCUAAUCUGCUAGGGACUAUCACUUGAUUUAAUUAAAUGCCAGUGUUAUCCCAACUUAAGCAGACCAACACUUAAUCUUCUCUUACAACCUAUGCUCCUGAAAUGCCUAGAAUUUAUUGCCAGAAGUAGCAUGAAGAUAUGCUUUGCCCUGUUUGGAGCAUGCGUGCAUGUGCACACGUGCACACACACACACACGCAAAACUUCUUCCAGUUGCAACACCCAAAUUAUGUGCCCGAUAACUUUAUCUCUGAUUAAGUUCCCAGAUAUCCUCAGGACAUUAUUAACCUCCAUAAUUACAAAAGAGAGAUGCCCCUCACUCUCUCCUCUCUUCUCAUAACCAAUCCAAGAAAAAAGAACCCAUCACAAUCUUCAUUUUUCCAAUUUUGAAUUUCUGUGAAAAUGAACUUCUCUGUCACCUACCUCCAUUUGGCUGUUUCUCAAUUCUUCCUAAUGAAUUCCUUCAUCCCCCCCAAAAAAAGUUCAGAUAUUACAAGCAUUAUUCUUUCAUAUAUUCUGGUUUUUAUCGUCCAAAAAGUAACCUCCAUGAUUUUCUAGAUGCUGAGGACAUCCACUUAGCAUUUAUUCUUCCCAACUGAAGAAGCUUCAUGUUUCAGUCUGUCCUCACAGAACAUUUUUCUCCCAUGUAAUACUUUUAACAUUGUGUAUAUAUUUUUUGAGUAUAGCAAAUUUUUCCAGUGAAAAACUUAAAAACAAGAAAACCCAGAAUAUGAAAUAAACAAACUUUGGAACCAAUUUCUCAUGCUUACUGUAAAAUAUCUUUCCUACAGAUAAUUAUAUGUGCUUAAGAUGAAAUAAAAUUUUUCAAAAAAAAUUUUCUUCCCUUCUUCUGUGUGUUGUUGUGCUGAGGGCAAUGAGACAAUAAAUUGAAUUAUACAUUUCUCUCCAUUUCUCCUUCAUUACCAGGACCAGGGACUGAAGAAUUUGAAAUGGAGAGUAAAACAGUGUGACAUAUUUUAGGGCCAUAAGCUAUCACAAUCAUUAUCCUAAUUCCUCUAAUUGCCAGCUCUAUAACCUUGGGGAAGUGACUUAACCUUUCUUUGCCUCAGUUUCCUCUAAAAAUUGGGAUAACAACAGUA
ensembl:lncRNA